CCUGAUCACUUGCAUUUGAGAACCAGGUGGCUCCCUGGCGUACCUUCCCUUCCCAAGUUUUCAAGGACUCUCAAGCUGAAUCUCAUCUUUUUCCAGGGUCCCCCUGGCCUCCCAGGGCUGAAGGGAGAUGCUGGCCUCAAGGGGGAAAAGGGCCACAUUGGGCUCAUAGGCCUUGUUGGUCCUUCAGGGGAGGCCGGUGAGAAAGGCGAUCAGGGGUUGCCAGGAGUGCAGGGCCCUCCAGGCCCUCAGGGAGACAUUGGUCUUCCUGGUCCGGUUGGCUCAUUAGGACAUCCUGGUUCCCCAGGUGUGGUGGGCCCUCCGGGACAGAAGGGCUCCAAGGGGUCCCCGGUGAGUGACACUGCUCCUCUGGUCUCCACAUCCCAGCUCCCCGCCCCCCUCCACCUUACCCUCCCAGCCCCCUUCCUCCGUUCAGUGGUUCAAUCAUCCUGUCUUCAGCCCCUACUGUUGCAUUAUGGGAGUCUGAGGGGCUGUAAAAGGAAGGUGUUCUGCUGACUUGCGGCUUGCAGGAGAUGCUGUGUGUUGAUUUCAGAGACAAGGGAAGGGAACACACAGCUUAGGUUUAGUGCAGGACACAGGGAACCUCUCCUGGGCCCUGUGUGUACACAUAUAUGCAAAUGUAUGCACACAUGUGUACAUAUGUGUACUCUGCCCUAGAUGGGGAGAAAAACAUUCAAGGGUCCUGGUUUAAAGGGGGAAUGUGUGGUGAUGCUUUUAAUCCCAGCACUCGGGAGGCAGAGGCAGGCGGAUCUCUGUGAGCCCCAGGCCAGCCUGGGCUAGAGCGAGUUCCAGGACAGGCUUCAUAGCUACUGAGA